rnacentral:rRNA from 1 species
UACAGAGGGUGCGAGCGUUGUCCGGAAUCACUGGGCGUAAAGGGCGCGUAGGCGGUCUCCUAAGCGUGUGGUGAAAGCCCGGGGCUCAACUCCGGGUCGGCCGUGCGAACUGGGGGACUGGAGCUUGUCAGAGGCAGGCGGAAUUCCGGGUGUAGCGGUGGAAUGCGUAGAGAUCCGGAAGAACACCGGGUGGCGAAGGCGGCCUGCUGGGACAGUGCUGACGCUGAGGCGCGACAGCGUGGGGAGCAAACAGG